rnacentral:rRNA from 1 species
UACGAAGGGGGCUAGCGUUGCUCGGAAUCACUGGGCGUAAAGCGCACGUAGGCGGAUUGCUAAGUCAGGGGUGAAAUCCUGGAGCUCAACUCCAGAACUGCCCUUGAUACUGGCGGUCUCGAGUCCGGGAGAGGUGAGUGGAACUGUGAGUGUAGAGGUGAAAUUCGUAGAUAUUCGCAAGAACACCAGUGGCGAAGGCGGCUCACUGGCCCGGUACUGACGCUGAGGUGCGAAAGCGUGGGGAGCAAACAGG